CGGCGGACGGGUGAGUAACACGUGGGCAACCUGCCUGUAAGACUGGGAUAACUUCGGGAAACCGGAGCUAAUACCGGAUAAUUCUUAUCAACACAUGUUGGUAAGCUAAAAGACGGCGUAAGCUGUCACUUACAGAUGGGCCCGCGGCGCAUUAGCUAGUUGGUGAGGUAACGGCUCACCAAGGCAACGAUGCGUAACCGACCUGAGAGGGUGAUCGGCCACACUGGGACUGAGACACGGCCCAGACUCCUACGGGAGGCAGCAGUAGGGAAUCUUCCGCAAUGGACGAAAGUCUGACGGAGCAACGCCGCGUGAGUGAUGAAGGUUUUCGGAUCGUAAAACUCUGUUGUUAGGGAAGAACAAGUACGAGAGUAACUGCUCGUACCUUGACGGUACCUAACCAGAAAGCCACGGCUAACUACGUGCCAGCAGCCGCGGUAAUACGUAGGGUGCAGGCGUUGUCCGGAAUUAUUGGGCGUAAAGAGCUCGUAGGCGGUGUGUCGCGUCUGCUGUGAAAACUCAGGGCUCAACUCUGAGCUUG
rnacentral:rRNA from 1 species